CGACGACGACGACGACGAUGAUGAUGAUGAUGAUGAUGGAUGAUGGAUGAUGAUGAUCAUCAUCAUCAUCAUCACCAUCAUCAUCAUCGUCAUGAUGG
rnacentral:pre_miRNA from 1 species